rnacentral:lncRNA from 1 species
AAGCGUUUCCUGGUCCAGAAAGUAAACCAUUGAACUUGAUCCGACUGGUUUCCUGCAUGCUUUUUAUUUCACUCUCAAGUAAUGGCUUUGACUGGGCCCCACAACGAUUCCACCUUUCCAUCCGAAUACGACAUCUUCAGAUUCUCUCAGGUGAGUCCUCCUCCCCAGCACCCUCCUUCUUGGACACCACCCCAGAGUAGGUUGCUUUCACCCAGCUGGCCUUGGCUUCAGGUGGGAUGUGGACAGCCCUCAUGGGCAUAAGCUCACCCAGAGGAUGGCAGCCAUCUGGGUGGAGAGGAGGAUUGAAAG